rnacentral:rRNA from 1 species
UACGUAGGGUCCGAGCGUUGUCCGGAAUCACUGGGCGUAAAGGGCGCGUAGGCGGCUUGAUAAGGUUGCGGUGAAAGCCCGGGGCUCAACCCCGGGUCGGCCGUGGCAACUGUCGAGCUGGAGCACUGUAGAGGCAGGUGGAAUUCCGGGUGUAGCGGUGGAAUGCGUAGAGAUUCGGAAGAACACCGGUGGCGAAGGCGGCCUGCUGGGCAGUGGCUGACGCUGAGGCGCGACAGCGUGGGGAGCAAACAGG